ACCUGAAAUAAGCAAGAUUACCCGCUGAACUUAA
rnacentral:rRNA from 1 species